rnacentral:ncRNA from 1 species
AAAAAGUUUGAUUUUGGCUUUUUUAUUUAUAUUAUAAAUUUUUUUGCAUGUUAAUUUUUGUGUGAUUAUUAAUUAUAUUUUAAAAAUAUUUUUAAUAAUAUAUUUAUUUGCAGCAUUUAGUUUUAAUAAUUAAAUAAUUUUAGAAUUAUGAUUUAUAUAUAAUAUAGGCAAAAAAUGUGCCAGCAGCUGCGGUUAUACAUUUUAUAUAAGUAAAUAUAAUUAAAUUUGUGUAAUUUUUAUUAAAUAAUUAAUUUUUAUAUAAUAAUUUAUAAAUUAAGUGAAAUUUUUUAUAAAUAAGUAAUAUUUUAAGUUAUUUUUAAAAUUACGAAAUCUUUAAUAAUAAACUAGGAUUAGAUACCCUAUUAUUUAAGAUGUAAAAUUUUGGGGAUUAAUAGUUAUGUUCUUUAAACUUAAAAAAAUUGGCGGUAUUUAAAUCUAAUUAGGGGAACUUGUUUUUUAAUUGACAAUCCGCAAGAAACCUUACUUUAAUUAAUUUAAUUUAUUUAUUGCCGUUAACAGAUUAUUUUAUAAGGAAUAUAAAUUUUCAUAAAUUUUUAUAAAAGUAUAUUUCAGGUCAUUAUGUAGUUUAUAUUAAAGUUAAGAUGAGUUACAAUAAUAUUUAAUUAAAUAAUGGAUAUUUAAUUGAAAUAUUAAAUUUAAAGUGGACUUAAUAGUAAAAUAAAAUAUUUUAUUUAUUUGAAUUUAGAAUUAAAUAUGUACAUAUCGCCCGUCACUCUCGUUUUAAGAUGAGAUAAGUCGUAACAAAGUAGAUUUAUUGGAAAAUGAAUCUAGAAUUUAUU